CGACCUGGUGGCCAUAGCGAGGGCCCCAACACCCGAUCCCAUCCCGAACUCGGCCGUGAAAUCCCUCCGCGCCCAUGGUACUGCGUCUCAAGACGUGGGAGAGUCGGUCGCCGCCAGGUCC
rnacentral:rRNA from 2 species